rnacentral:rRNA from 1 species
UACGUAGGGGGCAAGCGUUGUCCGGAUUUAUUGGGCGUAAAGAGCGUGUAGGCGGCCGUACAGGUCAGCUGUGAAAACUCGAGGCUCAACCUCGAGACGUCGGUUGAAACCGUACGGCUAGAGUCCGGAAGAGGAGAGUGGAAUUCCCGGUGUAGCGGUGAGAUGCGCAGAUAUCGGGAAGAACACCGGUGGCGAAGGCGGUUCUCUGGGCCUGUUCUGACGCUGAGGAGCGAAAGCGUGGGGAGCGAACAGG